AGAGAAAGCACUGGGGGAAUUAAAAAAAAAGGAAGAAAAAAAAAAGCGCUCCGCAUCUCUUCCGUCGAGCUUCGCUUCGCUUCCGAUCUAAACCCUCGCUCCGCGCCGCCGCCGGAGCACGCGCGCGAUGGGGGAUCUAGUAGGGUUUUGGCGGUUGCGGUUGCUUCCGCUGCCGCUGCUGUUGGUGGCGCUGCUCGCCGCGGCGGCGGUGGAGGCGCGGUUCGUGGUGGAGAAGAACAGCCUGAUGGUGACGUCGCCGACGUCGCUGCGGGGGCGGCACGACAGCGCCAUCGGUAACUUCGGCAUCCCGCAGUACGGCGGGAGCAUGGCGGGAGUCGUCGUCUACCCCAAGGACAACGCCGACGCCUGCGACGCCUUCGACGGCGGGAAGCAUCCGUUCCGCGCCAAGCCCGGCGCUCUGCCCACCUUCCUCCUCGUCGAUCGUGGGAAUUGCCUAUUUGCCAGGAAGGUUUGGAAUGCUCAAAAUGCUGGUGCCUCAGCGGUGCUUGUAGUUGAUGACAAGGAUGAGCCACUGAUAACAAUGGAUUUGCCUCGGGAAGAUGAGGAGGCUGCAAAGUAUAUACAAAACAUAACUAUUCCUUCUGCACUAAUAGAUAAAAAAUUUGGUGAGCAGUUGAAGAAGGCUGUUAAAGACGGUGAAAUGGUUGAUGUUAAUCUUGAUUGGAGGGAGGCUGUCCCGCAUCCAGAUGAUCGUGUUGAGUAUGAGUUAUGGACAAACAGCAACGAUGAAUGUGGGACUAAAUGUGAUAUGUUGAUGAAUUUCCUCAAGGAAUUUAAAGGAGCUGCCCAACUUCUUGAAAAAGGUGGCUAUAGUCAAUUCACACCCCAUUAUAUUACUUGGUACUGCCCUCAAGCAUUUGUGAUCAGUAAACAAUGCAAGUCCCAAUGUAUAAACCAUGGGAGGUAUUGUGCACCUGAUCCAGAACAGGAUUUUAGCACUGGCUACGAAGGAAAGGAUGUGGUGGUAGAGAACCUCAGACAGUUGUGUGUGUUUAAAGUUGCAAGUGAAAGCAAAAAACCAUGGACCUGGUGGGAUUAUGUGACUGAUUUUCACAUAAGGUGCCCGAUGAAGGAGAAGAAAUAUAACAAAAAGUGUGCAGAAACUGUCAUCAAAUCACUAGGUCUUGAUGUGGAGAAGGUGGAUAAGUGCAUGGGAGAUCCAAAUGCUGAUUCGGACCACCCGUUGCUUAAAAUGGAGCAGGAUGCUCAGAUUGGGAAAGGUUCAAGAGGAGAUGUUACCAUAUUGCCUACUGUUGUUGUGAACAAUCGGCAAUAUCGAGGGAAGCUCGAGAGGAAAGCUGUCCUCAAAGCUAUUUGUGCUGGUUUUGAGGAAACUACUGAACCGAAUGUUUGUCUGAGUGAUGAUAUAGAAACCAAUGAGUGUCUGAACGACAAUGGGGGCUGCUGGCAAGACAAAGCUGCUAAUGUGACAGCCUGCAGGGACACAUUCCGUGGCAGAGUGUGUGAAUGCCCCACAUUUAAUGGUGUGCAGUUUAAUGGCGAUGGCUACAGCAAUUGUGAACCUGCUGGGCCAGGAAAAUGCUUGAUAAAUCAUGGUGGAUGUUGGCAUGAAACUCGUAAUGGAAAAACAUUCUCUGCUUGUCAGGAAUCUGGAGAAGGGAAAUGCCAGUGCCCAGCUGGUUUCCGAGGGGAUGGUGUUAAAAAAUGUGAUGGUACUGUGAUAUACCACUAUAAGUUGCCUGCACCUAACUUUUGCCUCCCUUCGUUCUAAAUGGGGAAGAAUAAUUUGUGUGGUGCUCAACUUAUUUCAUCAUUGAAAGACAUUAAUGAGUGCAAGGAGAAAAAAGCUUGUCAGUGUCAUGAAUGUAAUUGCAGAGAUACAUGGGGUGGCUAUGAAUGCACUUGCAGUGGAGACCUUUUGUACAUCAGAGAGCAUGACAUUUGCAUAAUCAUACAUGGACUCAGAGAUCAGAGCUAUCAUGGCGCAAUACAUGCCACUUGACAGUCAAGGAGAGGUCCCAAAUCACACACACGGAGAAGAUCAUUCAUAGUCUGUUUUACAUGCACACAUCAUCCAACGGCAGGCCCAUAUGGCCUGACUGACACCAAGGCAUACAUCUAAUGUUUGAGCAAUAAUGAGGUAUACAAAAUGACAAUGCAGGUGAAUAGUGGUUUGAUGCUAUUCACCUGCUAAUUUAGCCGGAGCAGUUUCAACGCACAUAUCACUGUAAGCUCCAUUGUGCAAGUGUACAUCUGUAGAUUUUCAGUUGACCAGUCUUCAUAGAUUUUUAGCAUAUAAAUGUGUUGUCGGCUUGUUGCUGGUCCAUGUAAUAGAGUUGCUGAAUUUUCUACUCGAUUGCCCACGGCAAGGCCCUUUGGACAAACAUUGCUUGUAGGAUGUAACACCUGCUCUAUACAUGAGUUCCCUUGGAACAUGGAAAUAAAUAAUAAUGACCAACAAUGUCUUGUGACCCGGAGAGAAAUGUUACCAUCCGGUUUGCUAGAA